rnacentral:rRNA from 1 species
GAUGAACGUUGGCGGCGUGCCUAAUACAUGCAAGUCGAACGAAGACUGUAGUAAUACUGUCUUAGUGGCGAACGGGUGAGUAACGCGUGGGUGACCUGCCCCGAAGUGUGGGAUAACAGUCCGAAAGGAUUGCUAAUACUGCAUAAUAUCCAAGAGAUUAGAUGCUUUGGAUUAAGGAGUAUUCGCUUCGGAGGGCCGCGUCCCAUCAGCUAGUUGGUAAGGUAAUGGCUUACCAAGGCGAUGACGGGUAGGGGACCUGAGAGGGUGGCCCCCCACAAUGGAACUGAAACACGGUCCAUACACCUACGGGUGGCAGCAGUAGGGAAUAUUAGUAAUGGGCGAAAGCCUGAACUAGCAACGCCGCGUGUGCGAAGAAGGCCUUCGGGUCGUAAAGCACUUUUUGAGAGGAUGAGGAAGGACGGUACUCUCAGAAUAAGUCUCGGCUAACUACGUG